AAAAGCUGCUGCAACUUUUCCCCUUAUAGGAAAGGACUCAGAGCUUUGCAAGAGCUACAGUUUAAUUAUAGCCAUGAUGUACCUGUUCUUUUUGGAUACAGAUUUAGACUUUGCAGAUUUCCUUGCUGUGUGUUUCAGGGAGACUCUUGGGAGUGAUCUUGUGAAGCUGCUGAAAUUGGAUUAUUUCCAGUGGCCAAAAUGGAAUUCCCUCUAAGGAGAUUUCCAGAACCAUGGAGAGACUGCACAGAUUCCUCACUGUUUGUAACAUGCAGAGUCCCAACACAGCUUGGCCCCAACUGGUCAAGGAGUGAAAACAACUCACAGCAGAAUCCAAUGGAACAAUCACCUGUGGGUAAACAAUCCCCAAACACAUUCCACAUGAACACAACACAGGAGAAGCAAAUGAGAUAAGAAUUGUUCUCCUUUUCUCUGAGGCCUCUCACUGCCUUUCAGCUUCCCAGGAGAAAAACCCUGGGUGAAGGAAUCACGUUCAGGGAAUGUGAAUGCCACACCUGUGCUGAUCUCUGCAGAGAAAGAAUCCAGUGAGUGGCACAGCCCAUUUCUGCUAAGCUUUUACCCCUGGAAUUGGGUCCUGCACCACAUCCCUACUCUGUACCAGAGUUGGGUUUUAAUCUCCUGUUUGAGACAAGUGGAUUUCCACCAUCUACAUCCUUUGCUGCCAUGAGGAAAACCUAUGGGAUACACAGCACGUUCCUGAAUAAACACCUGGAGAAAGUCAUUCCUCCUUUUACACUCAAGUGCCACAGGCAAAGGUUUUAAGGAAAACCUAGAGGGCCUUUAUACUGCUGAACCUUGAUACCCAGAUGCAGGAGGGCUACUGGCAUGUGUAAGUGCAUGUGUUUCCAAGGCCUUAGCACCUCAGAACAUAGAUUGGAAAGGAACUCAAAGCAAGUCUGUCUAAAGCAGGUGUCUCUCUUCCUUAGUAAGAGCUGGAUUCAAGGAAACUGGAGCCUCUAAUAUUAAUUUGCCAUCAGCUUUGUGAACAGCUGUCAUUGGACACCUGGAAAAUGCAGCAUUUUGCUUUCCCUCAUUGCUCAGAAGAGCAGAAGGACCCUGAAGGGUGGUUUUCAGGAAGCUUCACCUACAGGAGACUGAAGCAGUUCAGCUUUGAGGAUGGAGGUGGAGAACAUCAAGGACUGAAGGUGUUUAUGGGAAGUGUGUUUAUGGAAAAGGCUUUUGGUAAGUUUGGAAAAGUUUCUUUUCCUUGGACACAUCUAAAAGACAGAAAGGAGAGACUUCUUCUCCCCCCAAGAAUUGUUGUUGUUGUUUUGCAGACAAACCUGAAAAAGAGAAGAAAAAUUUCAGUAGGGAUUUUCAUGGAAAUAUUUUGUCAUUCUCAUGAUGCAACCAGCAGCAGACUGUUCUUUUCUGUAAUGAAUGUGAAUGUAAAGGGGAACUGAAGAUCCUCACCUGCUAUGAAGAAUGCCAGUGGGAUGAUAAGGUUACUUCUACAGGAGAUUAAAGGUGCCAGUUACACAUUGGGGGUAAGAGGUAUUGAAACACAAACAGGCUGUGCAGAAAGACUCUGAUUUCCCAGAGAAAAACCUCUUAUUUUCUAAGAUUAUAACA